rnacentral:rRNA from 1 species
AUUGAACGCUGGCGGCAGGCCUAACACAUGCAAGUCGAGCGGAGCGGCGGACGGGUGAGUAAUGCCUAGGUAUCUGCCUGGUAGAGAGGGAUCACGUCAGGUCACGGACGCUAAUCCCACAUCCUAUUGGAUGACCCUAGGUCGGAUUAGCUAGUUGGUGGGGUAAGGGCCUACCAAGGCGACGAUCCGUAACUGGUCUGAGAGGAUGAUCAGCCACACUGGAACUGAGACACGGUCCAGACUCCUACGGGAGGCAGCAGUGGGGAAUAUUGGACAAUGGGCGAAAGCCUGACCCAGCCAUGCCGCGUGUGUGAAGAAGGUCUUCGGAUCGUAAAGCACUUUAAGUUGGGAGGCGGUACCAACAGAAUAAGCACCGGCUAACUUCGUGCCAGCAGCCGCGGUAAUUC